UACGUAGGGUCCGAGCGUUGUCCGGAAUUACUGGGCGUAAAGCGCGCGCAGGCGGCCCGCGAGGUGUCACGUGAAAGCCCUGGGCUUAACCCGGGAAUGGCAGUCGAAACUGCGGGUCUGAAUGCUUGAGAGGAUGGCGGGAAUUCCCGGUGUAGAAGUGAAAUUCGUAGAUAUCGGGAAGAACACCUGAGGCGAAGGCGGCUACCUGGCGAUGCAUUGACGCUGAGGCGCGAAAGCGUGGGGAGCAAACAGG
rnacentral:rRNA from 1 species